rnacentral:rRNA from 1 species
ACAACUUUCAGCAAUGGAUCUCUAGGCUCUUGCAUCGAUGAAGAACGCAGCGAAAUGCGAUAAGUAAUGUGAAUUGCAGAAUUCAGUGAAUCAUCGAAUCUUUGAACGCACCUUGCGCUCCUUGGUAUUCCGAGGAGCAUGCCUGUUUGAGUGUCAUUA